AUCCUUACGCUACAUAGCCAAACCCUAUCAACGCCUUCUGUUUCUCCAAAUCGCUCCUUCUGCAAUUUUCUUCUCUUCCUUCAGCAUCUUCUUCCAAAAUUAUGAGUUUUUUUUAUCGUUCAUCUCAUAGGUUUUUGUAGGCCGAAGAUGAAGAGCUUUGUAUAUUCUGACACCUCUUGUAUGAGAUGGAUCUUUCAUUAAAGGUUUCAUCUUUGAGCACAGAAAGCAACUCUCUGAGUCCUACACUACCAGGGGAGAGGUGACGCCGACGUCGAUGUAGAUGAUGGAUGAGGCCUGUGCUGGGGACGUUGACGCGGAUGCUCAUGACCUGGAAGCAGAGGAAGAGAUCCUGGGCCUCGAGGCCGUAGAUUGCGUCGAUUUUCUGGGGAGUACAGUCCUUAUGGCCAGCCUGUGCUCGUUCAAUUUUAAAAAAAUCACGUCAAUAAUAAAAGCCCGUUGUGAAUCCUGGUCACUUGAAUUUUCCUUUUUUUUAUAAAAAAAAAACAGACUAAAUCCAGAUCUUUUCACGAUGUACUGUAAAAUUGUAUUUUUUUAAAUAGUGAUGAGUUGUAUAGUUGGGUAUGUAAAUGUAUGUAAUCAUUAUUUUUGGACCCUUUUGAAUAUCAUGAAAUACAGUUUGUAUUGUUAAGUUAAUUUUUAAGCUUUAUUAUAUUACAAUCGCGUCUUAUCUUUGA